GCCGAGGUAGCUCAGUCGGUAGAGCAGGGGACUGAAAAUCCCCGUGUCGGCGGUUCGAUUCCGUCCCUCGGCACCA
rnacentral:tRNA from 10 species